GGCACGGUGGUGCAGUGGGUAGCACUGUCGCCUCACAGUAAGAAGGUUGCGGGUUCAAAUCUCGGCUUGGGGCC
rnacentral:tRNA from 1 species